AACAGAAGUAGAGACACAAAGUACACUUGAAUUAGUUGAAUAUAAGUUAGGAAGUCAAAAUUCAAAUCAAAUUUGAAUCAAGAAGUCAGUCAAAAUGAAUGAAGAGCAUAGAUGUGAGAUGUGAAGAGCAACAGAAGAGUGCUUGUUGGGCCCCAUGCCCAAGCUCAAGAGAAGACCUGCAAAUCUAAUUUGGCACCAUAAAAAGGCCCAUUAUAGGGUGUUGCCCAUUUAAGUCGGCUCUGAAUAAGCGCCCGCUUCUUCCUCACCAUCUGCCAUCUUCCUCCCCUAUAGGGUGUCGCCGUCUACCAUCUUCUCCACAAGUCGACGGCAAACGCCACCCAUCACUGCUGUUACUCUAUCGGCGUACCCACGGUGGUCGUCCCUCUGCCCGCGCCUGCGUGUUUCUCUCGCGCCCACCCAUCUGCAAGCGGAUCCACUGUGGUCGCCCGUGUUUCAGAUUAUUGCCUCUUCUCUGUCGAUUGCCGCUCUCUUAGCUGAUUCCAAUGCGUAGAGAGUGAAUCAGGUCUUUCUCGGAAAUUCGCUGGAUAGAUAGAGAUAGAUUGACAAAGACAGUGUUAUAGAGAGAGAGAGAGAGAGAGAGAGAGAGAGAGAGAGAAAGAGAGAGAAAGAGAGAGGCAAUAGAACAAACAUCAACGUCUGCAUUUGUUAGAUCAGAACAAAAAUCUCAUUGAGUGUCGCAACGAUGUUAUCAUAGCACUCUUGAACUCGGCGAGCAUCUUUGUCUCUGGCAGCAUAAUCCAGCUGCAGCACAAACGAUAAAGAUUUCAAGCUUCAUUUGCGAAGCUGGAGCAUACCGAGAGCGUGAAGACAAUGGACUCACACUUGAGACAUCGUUGAAGAGGUGAGAGUAGAGCUUCCUCAGCUGUGGCCGCUGGCUUCCCGGCUUUGCUUGGAUGAUCGUGUAGAGAUCCUGCUUCAGAUACGACGAGCUCUCGCGAAGCGCGAUCUGGGCUUCUCUCCAUGACUGCGAAUCGAUCAAAGCCUUUAUCCGCACCAGAUCUCUUGCAUGGAUCUUCACCACCGCGUCUGCUUCUUCGGGUGUCUGUUCCGGAGCGGUGAAUCUGAA